rnacentral:rRNA from 1 species
AAAGUAGCAAUACUUUCUUGGCGGCGACCGCCGGAUGGGUGAGUAACGCGUAUGCAACCUACCUACUACUUUGGGAUAGCUCGUUGAAAGACGAAUUAAUACCUUAUAAUACAGNGACUCCGCAUGGAGAUAUUUGUUAAAAAUUUAUUGGUAGUAGAUGGGCAUGCGUUCCAUUAGCUUGUUGGUGAGGUAACUGCUCACCAAGGCAUCGAUGGAUAGGGGAACUGAGAGGUUUGUCCCCCACACUGGAACUGAGACACGGUCCAGACUCCUACGGGAGGCAGCAGUGAGGAAUAUUGGUCAAUGGACGCAAGUCUGAACCAGCCAAGUCGCGUGAAGGAUGACGGCCCUACGGGUUGUAAACUUCUUUUUUAAGGGAAUAAAGUGAGCCACGUGUGGCUCUUUGCAUGUACCUUACGAAUAAGGAUCGGCUAACUCCGUGCCAGCAGCCGCGGUAAUACGGAGGAUCCAAGCGUUAUCCGGAUUUAUUGGGUUUAAAGGGUGCGCAGGCGGAAUAUUAAGUCGGCGGUGAAAGUUUGCAGCUUAACUGUAAAAUUGCCGUUGAUACUGGUAUUCUUGAGUGUAUAUGAAGUAGGCGGAAUUUGUAGUGUAGCGGUGAAAUGCGUAGAUAUUUGGAGGAACACCAGUGGCGAAGGCGACUUACUGGUCUGUAAUUGACGCUGAGGCUCGAAAGCGUGGGUAGCAAACAGGAUUAGAUACCCUGGUAGCCCACGCUGUAAACGAUGAAUGCUAGGUGUAGGAGGUAU